ensembl:lncRNA
ACUCCACUGUAACCAGGGAAGUUCCCCACUCCACUGUAACCAGGGAAGUUCCCCACUCCACUGUAACCAGGGAAGUUCCCCACUGUAACCAGGGAAGUUCCCCACUCCACUGUAACCAGGGAAGUUCCCCACUCCACUGUAACCAGGGAAGUUCCCCACUGUAACCAGGGAAGUUCCCCACUGUAACCAGGGAAGUUCCCCACUCCACUGUAACCAGGGAAGUUCCCCACUCCACUGUAACCAGGGAAGUUCCCCACUGUAACCAGGGAAGUUCUCCACUCCACUGUAACCAGGGAAGUUCCCCACUCCACUGUAACCAGGGAAGUUCCCCACUCCACUGUAACCAGGGAAGUUCCCCAAGUUUCUCCACUCCAAAAGGAACCUUGACCUUGUUAUGGAUUUCAUAGACAUGGUAGAGCGAAAAGAAAGAAAGAGAUACUGCCUGGUGAUAAUUGACAGGUUCACCAGGUGGGUGGAAGCAUUUCCCACCACCAACUGCGAUGCGCGAAACAGUUGAAAAAUGGCUAGUCAGGGAAAUCAUACCCAGGUUCGGAGUAACUGAGGUUUUAGGUUUUAUCUGCAGACAAUGGGACCCAUCUCAUAGGAGAUGUGGUUGCCCAAGUAGCCAAAAUGAUGGGUGUUGACUAGAAGUUUGUGUCCAUCUAUCAACCGUGGAGUGACGGGAUAAGAGAGAGGGCUAAUUAAAUGAUCAAAGGGGGGCUUGCAAAAGCCUGUCAUUCCACAACAAUGAGCUGGGUGGAAUGCUGCCCCUUGUCCUCAGGAAAAUGUGCAGCAGCCUUAACAAAGGUAUGGGAUGUACACCUUAUGAAAUGUUAACAUGAUGACCCAUGAACACACCAGGUGUUCCACCUAUGACUGACCGACAGAUAGACAAAACUGAGACACAGUGUGUCCAUCUUGAGUACAUGAAGGAACUAACCUCUGUUGUAAGUUUUCUCCACCCUCACACUAGGAAAGCAUUAGAACCAAUGCCAGGUGAGGAUCCAGAUGCUCUGGCCAUCUGCGUAGGAGACUGAGUGAAAAAGACAAGUCCAUAAAAGAAAAUGGAACCAGCCAAGAUGAAUGGGACCCUUCCAGGUGACCAUGGCAACACCGAUUGCAAUCCGGGUGGCGAAGAGGUCCAGCUGGCAUCAUCUCUCCCACAGCAAGCAACUCCCAGAGUGGAAGCCAUGGAUGAGCGACUGGAGGGAGGGAGAGCAGGGCCCCGAGGACAUCUGAAGGAGGAAGAAGGUAUGAGCCAAAGGACAGAAGCAGAGGGCCCAGACCAAAUGACAGAAGCAGAAGGUCCAGACCAAAGGACAGAAGCAGAAGGUCCAGACCAAAAGGCUGGAAAGAAAGAUGAAAAAGAAGGCUCUAGAUAACGAGCAGAAGGAGGAGACGUCAUUUCACACUCAGGGUCUAUAACUAGGAAACAGAGACUAGUGUGGUGGUUUGUUUUCCCCAUAAUCCUUUCCAUGGGUCUCCUUGUUGGCGCAGCCACAGGACCCCCUGGGGGAUCUGAGGUAAACAACAAAUGGAUACAAAUGGUGAGAAAAAUUGGAAAUCAGACUAAGAAAUCAGACUACUAGGAACCCAGAUUUGAGUAUUUAGGAAGCCUACAUCAACAACUGAGCUGUUCGGGAGUCAGGUUGAGCCCAUGAGAAGGACAGAGUUUGGAUGUGGGUUUUUAUCCUUUAUGCAGAGAGGUAAUGAGAAACAACUGACUAGGCGAAUGGAGACCACAGGACUGUUCUUUGGGAAAAGAACUGAGAGGUUAGCCGGGGAUCAUGGGACACAUGUAUGUUGGGGUGGUCACAAGAAGGGAGCAAAUUGACCUAAUGUGGUAGAAGGAAGCAGGCAGAUCCCUCUAUGACCUAGAAUUCACCUCAGGAGAGGUGAGUCAGUCUUCAUGGUAAGAACUACCCACUCUGUAAGAUGUAAUUAUCCCAGCAGGCACCUGUGGAUAGAAUUGUUAGGAAAUGGAAGUUUGAUCAUCAUUCCCAUACUGACUGUGGAAAAGUGGAAAAUUACUGCUGAGCACUUAGAAAACACUGGAACUAUUGUUUUUAUUCCUGCAAGUUUGUAAAACUGUAUAUGCAUGGCCUUGGUCUCAUGAGUAGAAGGUGUUGAUGUAGGCAGUUACAUCACUAGGGGUUGACUGCAAACAUAUAAAAGCAACUUGGACUUUUCCUAUUUUGCAGAACUCAGGAGAUACAUCAGUUGUAUGUUUGAUAUUAAAAUUGUUAUGAUUUAUAAGUGCACAUUUUGAGUUCCUUAUUUGUUAAGUAACUAACGGAGACCAGAAAAGUGGAACCAACACUAACAUAAUUGCAAAAGUGUUUUCAUUUAGAGCCUUUUAAAAUUAUGAACAUGGAUUAGCUAACACAACGUGCCAUUGGAACACAGGAGUGAUGGCUGCUGAUAAUGGGCCUCUGUACUCCUAUGUAGAUAUUCCAUAUAAAAUCAGCCGUUUCCAGCAACAAUAGUCAUUUACAACAUUAACAAUGUCUACACUGUAUUUCUGAUCAAUUUUAUGUUAUUUUAAUGGACAAAAAAAAUUUGAUUUUCUUUCAAAAACAAGGACAUUUCUAAGUGACCCCAAACUUUUGAACGGUAGUGUAUAUCACUGACUUCCAUGUGCACAAACACACAUACAUACAUA